rnacentral:rRNA from 1 species
GACGAACGCUGGCGGCGUGCUUAACACAUGCAAGUCGAGCGGUAAGGCCCUUUCGGGGGUACACGAGCGGCGAACGGGUGAGUAACACGUGAGUAAUCUGCCCUUCACUUCGGGAUAAGCCUCGGAAACGGGGUCUAAUACCGGAUACGACACUUUUACGCAUGUAAUGGGUGUGGAAAGUUUUUUCGGUGGGGGAUGUGCUCGCGGCCUAUCAGCUUGUUGGUGGGGUAAUGACCUACCAAGGCUUCGACGGGUAGCCGGCCUGAGAGGGUGACCGGCCACACUGGGACUGAGACACGGCCCAGACUCCUACGGGAGGCAGCAGUGGGGAAUAUUGGACAAUGGGCGGAAGCCUGAUUCAGCAACGCCGCGUGAGGGAUGACGGCCUUCGGGUUGUAAACCUCUUUCAGCGGGGACGAAGCGCAAGUGACGGUACCCGCAGAAGAAGCACCGGCCAACUACGUGCCAGCAGCCGCGGUAAUACGUAGGGUGCGAGCGUUGUCCGGAAUUAUUGGGCGUAAAGGGCUCGUAGGCGGUUUGUCGCGUCGGGAGUGAAAACGCCGGGCUUAACUCGGUGCUUGCUUUCGAUACGGGCAGACUAGAGGCAUGCAGGGGAGAACGGAAUUCCUGGUGUAGCGGUGAAAUGCGCAGAUAUCAGGAGGAACACCGGUGGCGAAGGCGGUUCUCUGGGCAUGUCCUGACGCUGAGGAGCGAAAGUGUGGGGAGCGAACAGG